rnacentral:ncRNA from 1 species
UACCUGGUUGAUUCUGCCAGUAGUCAUAUGCUUGUCUCAAAGAUUAAGCCAUGCAUGUCUAAGUAUAAGCAAUCUAUACGGUGAAACUGCGAAUGGCUCAUUAAAUCAGUUAUCGUUU